AGGUGAUGCCUACUGUACCUUUAUCAACGUAGGCACUCGGCCACGCUGUGGGUCUUGCAUGUUGCAGACCUUAGACGUUCAUCGUCAAGGGUGUGGUGUGAGGAUGGGUUCGAUGCCCG
rfam:Paenibacillus beijingensis strain DSM 24997, complete genome.